UACGUAGGGUGCGAGCGUUGUCCGGAAUUACUGGGCGUAAAGAGCUCGUAGGUGGUUUGUCGCGUUGUUCGUGAAAACCGGGGGCUUAACCCUCGGCGUGCGGGCGAUACGGGCAGACUUGAGUACUGCAGGGGAGACUGGAAUUCCUGGUGUAGCGGUGGAAUGCGCAGAUAUCAGGAGGAACACCGGUGGCGAAGGCGGCUCUCUGGGACGGUACCGACGCUGAGACGCGAAAGCGUGGGGAGCGAACAGG
rnacentral:rRNA from 1 species